AUUUGGGGGACUGCGGGAGGACAUUAUUGAAUUUUAAAAUGAGGUGGGGGGUUGUAGCUGGCCAUGGUAAAAUAUGGCAUUGUGCACACCCUUUGCUUUGUUUACAUUCUUAACAAACCUCUCUGUGCACUUUUCAUGGGAUGCUGGUUGAAGUCAUUUAACGAUGAUGGAGACAGGCUCUCAUGCUUUUAAUUAUACACCACAUAUAUGUCUAGGAUGUUUUAUUGUAUACACGCAAGUGUAUCAUAAAUUGAAAUACAACUUUCAGCAACGGAUCUCUUGGCUCUCGCAUCGAUGAAGAACGCAGCGAAAUGCGAUAAGUAAUGUGAAUUGCAGAAUUCAGUGAAUCAUCGAAUCUUUGAACGCACCUUGCACUCCUUGGUAUUCCGAGGAGUAUGCCUGUUUGAGUGUCAUGGUCUUAUCAAUUUAUCUUGUUCUUUUUUAAGGAUGGGCUAUAAAUUGGAGUUGGAGGCUUGCCGGUUUAAUUUUUAAUUAGUCGGCUCCUCUGAAAUGCAUGAGUGUUGAUUUUAUAAAUCAAGCAUCUCUCUCAGUGUGAUAAUUAUCAGUGCUGUGAGCGCUUGGUUUUUCAAUGCUUCUAACCGUUCCUCGUGGAACAAAAUUUAUUAAAAUCUGACCUCAAAUCAGGUAGGACUACCCGCUGAACUUAAGCAUAUCAUAAACGGGAAGGAA
rnacentral:rRNA from 1 species